rnacentral:snRNA from 1 species
GUGUUUGCUCCAGCAACACAUAUACUAAAAUUUAAUUGAUACAGCAAAGAUUAGCAUGGCCGCUGUGCAAGCAUGACAUGCAAAUUGUGAAGUGUUCCAUAUUGUU